UACAGAGGUGGCAAGCGUUGUUCGGAAUUACUGGGCGUAAAGGGCGCGUAGGCGGCCUUCUAAGUCAGACGUGAAAUCCCCCGGCUUAACCUGGGAACUGCGUCUGAUACUGGGGGGCUUGAGUAUGGGAGAGGGAUGUAGAAUUCCAGGUGUAGCGGUGAAAUGCGUAGAUAUCUGGAGGAACACCGGUGGCGAAGGCGACAUCCUGGACCGGUAUUGACGCUGAGGCGCGAAAGCCAGGGGAGCAAACGGG
rnacentral:rRNA from 1 species